rnacentral:misc_RNA from 1 species
CCUAAUUUUACAUGGAAUAUAAUUUCUAAAUUGUAUCUUCCAACACUACAUCAUUCUCUUGGAAUGCGGAAGAACAAGAAUUGAACUUGGAGAAUACAGUCUUAUAGUCUUGGGUAACAAUAGAAAGGUUGAAACAAAGAAUUUCAAGUAUUCCUUGCAUCCUUGAAAACAUGUGAACAAAGAAAGUCAAUCACAAUUAAAGUUGAAUGGCUCUUCAAAUCACAAGGAAAAACAAAAUUUGACAACUUUUCAAUUUCCAUUAUCAUCUCUAUGAUUUGAUUUUCUUCAAUGUCCAUUGAAAUUUCUAUGGCUUGAUUUUCAUUGUAAUCAUCGAUUUCAUCUUGUAGACUUUCAAUGUCAAUCCACUUCAACAAUCUUACUGAAAACACAAUUUAAAGCAUUUACCAGCCCUUAUGAGUUGUUUUUACCAAAAUGGAUAUCAAAAUCGAACUUAGCGCAUUGAAAUUGGAAAGGAAGGGCCAUGCGAUUUUUUUUUUUGGCUAACAUGGCAUUGAUGUGGCAGUGACAUGGAGCUGGGCUGGCAAUGAGGUGGCAAAUGAUGUGGGCAGAACAGGCACUGAAGUUAACUUGAAAUCUUGACUUCUUGAUGAAGUCAGUAAGCGGCCAAAUCAAGUGAAGCUAGAGAAAUGGAAGAGUGUAAGCUAGCCUGCAGACCUGGUGGAUCCUUGACUCAACCAAGUUGGAUCUCACUCUGCAAGUGUUGAACUGCAGUUUUGACUGUGGAAAAGAGGUUGGGUGGUGGCUGACGAAGAGAUGCAGAGGGCCAGGGGCCAGAAACAACUGACUAUUAAACGGGUCAGGUUUCCAGUUAAAGCCUGAUCCCGUUGCAUCUUUUUCUCUACGCAACUUCAGGUAACCGAACUAGUACAGUUGAAAUAGCUCAGGGGUCAUCGGGGGUUUGGCAGCGACGCUGCUUCCUGGUUAAAUGCCGGUAGUGGGUGUUGACUGUUGAGUUGUCUCUCCUCUACCUCAAAACUUUUUUUUGGUUUUCUUUUGGGUUCUUUUUUUUAUUAUAAAUGAUAGAUUCAAGGGAAAAUUCGAAGGCUACAACGGAAGGGUGGGAUUUUUUCAAAGCUUUGAUACCAAAUUUAUGUAGAACGAGAAGAACCAAAAGAUCAAGAGAAACAAAUUCUCAAAAUACCAAGCAAGAGAAAUAAGUUCUGCAAGAUUUUAUUAGUU